UACGUAGGGGGCAAGCGUUAUCCGGAUUCACUGGGUUUAAAGGGUGCGUAGGUGGGUCUGUAAGUCAGUGGUGAAAUCUCCGAGCUUAACUCGGAAACUGCCAUUGAUACUAUAGGUCUUGAAUUAUCUGGAGGUGAGCGGAAUAUGUCAUGUAGCGGUGAAAUGCUUAGAUAUGACAUAGAACACCAAUUGCGAAGGCAGCUCACUACGGAUAUAUUGACACUGAGGCACGAAAGCGUGGGGAUCAAACAGG
rnacentral:rRNA from 1 species